rnacentral:sRNA from 1 species
CUGUGAUUCUCUGUGUAAGCGAAAGAGCU